AUUGAACGCUGGCGGCAGGCCUAACACAUGCAAGUCGAACGAGUGGCGGACGGGUGAGUAAUGUCUGGGAACCUGCCUGAUGGAGGGGGAUAACUACUGGAAACGGUAGCUAAUACCGCAUACCAUCAGAUGUGCCCAGAUGGGAUUCGCUAGUUGGUGGGGGAACGGCUCACCAAGGCGACGAUCCCUCGCUGGUCUGAGAGGAGGACCAGCCACACGGGAACGGAGACACGGUCAAGACUCCUACGGGAGGCAGCAGUGGGGAAUAGUGCACAAUGGGCGCAAGCCGGAUGCAGCCAUGCCGCGUGUAUGAAGAAGGCCUUCGGGUUGGAAAGUACUUUCAGCGGGGAGGCGGUACCCGAAGAAGAAGCACCGGCUAACUCCGUGCCAGCAGCCGCGGUAAUAC
rnacentral:rRNA from 1 species